rnacentral:rRNA from 1 species
CACGUAGGGUGCGAGCGUUGUCCGGAAUUAUUGGGCGUAAAGAGCCCGUAGGCGGUGUGUCGCGUCGGCCGUGAAAACCUGCAGCUUAACUGUGGGCUUGCGGUCGAUACGGGCAUCACUGGAGUUCGGCAGGGGAGACUGGAAUUCCUGGUGUAGCGGUGAAAUGCGCAGAUAUCAGGAGGAACACCGGUGGCGAAGGCGGGUCUCUGGGCCGAUACUGACGCUGAGGAGCGAAAGCGUGGGGAGCGAACAGG